GGCCAUCGCUCAACGGAUAAAAGGUACUCCGGGGAUAACAGGCUGAUACCGCCCAAGAGUUCAUAUCGACGGCGGUGUUUGGCACCUCGAUGUCGGCUCAUCACAUCCUGGGGCUGAAGUAGGUCCCAAGGGUAUGGCUGUUCGCCAUUUAAAGUGGUACGCGAGCUGGGUUUAGAACGUCGUGAGACAGUUCGGUCCCUAUCUGCCGUGGGCGCUGGAGAACUGAGGGGGGCUGCUCCUAGUACGAGAGGACCGGAGUGGACGCAUCACUGGUGUUCGGGUUGUCAUGCCAAUGGCACUGCCCGGUAGCUAAAUGCGGAAGAGAUAAGUGCUGAAAGCAUCUAAGCACGAAACUUGCCCCGAGAUGAGUUCUCCCUGAGACUUAGAGUCUCCUGAAGGAACGUUGAAGACGACGACGUUGAUAGGCCGGGUGUGUAAGCGCAGCGAUGCGUUGAGCUAACCGGUACUAAUGAACCGUGAGGCUUAACCUUACAACGCCGAAGCUGUU
rnacentral:rRNA from 1 species